UACGUAGGGAGCGAGCGUUAUCCGGAUUUAUUGGGUGUAAAGGGUGCGUAGACGGGAAUGUAAGUUGGUUUUGAAAUCCCUCGGCUUAACUGAGGAACUGGAACCAAAACUAUAUUUCUUGAGUGCAGGAGAGGAAAGUGGAAUUCCUAGUGUAGCGGUGAAAUGCGUAGAUAUUAGGAGGAACACCAGUGGCGAAGGCGACUUUCUGGACUGUAACUGACGUUGAGGCACGAAAGUGUGGGUAUCGA
rnacentral:rRNA from 1 species